UACGUAGGGUGCAAGCGUUAAUCGGAAUUACUGGGCGUAAAGCGUGCGCAGGCGGUUAUGCAAGACAGAGGUGAAAUCCCCGGGCUCAACCUGGGAACUGCCUUUGUGACUGCAUGGCUAGAGUACGGUAGAGGGGGAUGGAAUUCCGCGUGUAGCAGUGAAAUGCGUAGAUAUGCGGAGGAACACCGAUGGCGAAGGCAAUCCCCUGGACCCGUACUGACGCUCAUGCACGAAAGCGUGGGGAGCAAACAGGAUUAGAUA
rnacentral:rRNA from 1 species